CUGCCAGGAUGACCAUCUUAGGACACCUUUGGAUGAAUGAUGAAAACAACCCGAUUUACUCUGAGCAGC